rnacentral:SRP_RNA from 1 species
ACCGGCCGGGGAGAUAGCGGUGCCCUGUACCUGCAAUCCGCUACAGCAGGGGUUACGUCCCGUUUUGCGGUAUGUGGCUGUGCGGCCUGCACGGCGUAGCCCGUAUGAUGACGGAUCGGUCCCGCGCAAUCGUGAGUCGUGAACCAUGUCAGGUGGGGAACCAAGCAGCAUUAAGCGAUGUCCACGAUGUGCCGCGGGCAAGCCGGUCCCGAAU